rnacentral:rRNA from 1 species
AUUGAACGCUGGCGGCAGGCUUAACACAUGCAAGUCGAGAGGGGGAGGUUGCUUCGGUAACUGACCUAGCGGCGGACGGGUGAGUAAUACUUAGGAAUCUGCCUAUUAAUGGGGGACAACAUCUCGAAAGGGAUGCUAAUACCGCAUACGCCCUACGGGGGAAAGCAGGGGAUCACUUGUGACCUUGCGUUAAUAGAUGAGCCUAAGUCGGAUUAGUUAGUUGGUGGGGUAAAGGCCUACCAAGGCGACGAUCUGUAGCGGGUCUGAGAGGAUGAUCCGCCACACUGGGACUGAGACACGGCCCAGACUCCUACGGGAGGCAGCAGUGGGGAAUAUUGGACAAUGGGGGGAACCCUGAUCCAGCCAUGCCGCGUGUGUGAAGAAGGCCUUAUGGUUGUAAAGCACUUUAAGCGAGGAGGAGGCUCUUUUGGUUAAUACCCAAGAUGAGUGGACGUUACUCGCAGAAUAAGCACCGGCUAACUCUGUGCCAGCCGCCGCGGUAACAC